GAGGGGUAUAGUUCUUCGGAACUAGAGACCGGCGCACGGGUGCGUAACGCGUAUGUAAUCUACCUUUCACAGAGGGAUAGCCCAGAGAAAUUUGGAUUAAUACCUCAUAGUAUUAUAGUAUGGCAUCAUAUUAUAAUUAAAGUCACAACGGUGAAAGAUGAGCAUGCGUCCCAUUAGCUUGUUGGUAAGGUAACGGCUUACCAAGGCAACGAUGGGUAGGGGUCCUGAGAGGGAGAUCCCCCACACUGGUACUGAGACACGGACCAGACUCCUACGGGAGGCAGCAGUGAGGAAUAUUGGACAAUGGGCGCAAGCCUGAUCCAGCCAUGCCGCGUGCAGGGUGACGGUCCUAUGGAUUGUAAACUGCUUUUGCACAGGAAGAAACAACGCUACGUGUAGCGUCUUGACGGUACUGUGAGAAUAAGGAUCGGCUAACUCCGUGCCAGCAGCCGCGGUAAUACGGAGGAUCCAAGCGUUAUCCGGAAUCAUUGGGUUUAAAGGGUCCGUAGGCGGUCUUAUAAGUCAGUGGUGAAAUCUCCCCGCUCAACGGGGAAACGGCCAUUGAUACUGUAGGACUUGAAUUAUUAGGAAGUAACUAGAAUAUGUAGUGUAGCGGUGAAAUGCUUAGAGAUUACAUGGAAUACCAAUUGCGAAGGCAGGUUACUACUAAUGGAUUGACGCUGAUGGACGAAAGCGUGGGUAGCGAACAGGAUUAGAUACCCUGGUAGUCCACGCCGUAAACGAUGGAUACUAGCUGUUGGAAGCAAU
rnacentral:rRNA from 1 species